rnacentral:rRNA from 1 species
UACAGAGGGUGCGAGCGUUAAUCGGAAUUACUGGGCGUAAAGCGUGCGUAGUCGGUUAUUUAAGUCGGAUGUGAAAGCCCCGGGCUCAACCUGGGAAUUGCAUUCGAGACUGAAUAGCUAGGGUGCGGUAGAGGGAAGCGGAAUUUCCGGUGUAGCGGUGAAAUGCGUAGAUAUCGGAAGGAACAUCAGUGGCGAAAGCGGCUUCCUGGACCAGCACCGACGUUCAGGCACGAAAGCGUGGGGAGCAAACAGG